rnacentral:rRNA from 1 species
GAUGAACGCUAGCUACAGGCUUAACACAUGCAAGUCGAGGGGUAACGAGAGGAAAGCUUGCUUUCCUUGUCGACGACCGGCGCACGGGUGAGUAACGCGUAUCCAACCUGCCCCCAACUAAGGAAUAACCUAUCGAAAGUAAGACUAAUACCUUAUAAUGUCCUCAGAUGUCAUCUGACGAGGAAUAAAGAUUUAUCGGUGGUGGUUGGGGGUGCGUCUGAUUAGCUUAUUGGCGGGGUAACGGCCCACCAAGGCAACGAUCAGUAGGGGUUAUGGGAGGAAGGUCCCCCACAUUGGAAAUGGGACACGGUCCAAACUCCUACGGGAGGCAGCAGUGAGGAAUAUUGGUCAAUGGGCGGAAGCCUGAACCAGCCAAGUAGCGUGCAGGAUGACGGCCCUAUGGGUUGUAAACUGCUUUUAUACAGGAAUAAAGUUAGCCACGUGUGGUUAUUUGUAGGUACUGUAUGAAUAAGGACCGGCUAAUUCCGUGCCAGCCGCCGCCGUAA